rnacentral:tRNA from 1 species
GGGAAUGUAGCUCAGUGGUAGAGAAUUUGCCUAGCAUGUGCAAGGCCCUGGGUUUGAUCCCCAGCAUAUCUC